rnacentral:lncRNA from 1 species
GUCCUCCCAUACACACACCCUCACUCCCAUCCAUACACUCACCCUCUCUCACACACCCAACCUCCCACCUUUAAUGUGUGUGGAUGGGACUAAGGUUUUCUCAUUUCUUUCAGAUUGUGCGCCUCCGAGGUGAACGUCUGACUGAAGUGAACGUGUGGCUGGUCGAGAACUCCUCCAAACAGGUAAAGUACUUAUGACAAUAUAUAAUGUCUAUAUGCAAGUAUUUAUGAAUGUUAUGUUUUAAAGUUUUUUGUAUUCCAGGUUUGUUUGUGUGGCUGACUGGACCUACUACAAGGUGCUUCUUGCAGGUAAUAAAGAUACAUCAGUGAUGGUGAGGCCGUCACAUUACCAGCGGUUGUGGAUUUCUCAAUUCAACCUUUAUAUUGCAGACUCCACAUAAGGUAAAACACUUCCAUUCAGCAAUUGGUGUGCAGUGUCCAGAUUGUCAACAUUUAGUUCAGUAUGAUGUUACUUCUGGCCAGCUUAACCUGAGGAGAAAGUCAGUACAGUACACGAUUAGAUUUUGAAAAGGAAACUGCAAAUGUCAUUAAUGCAAGAACGAAUGUAAGUGUCG